UAAGGAAAUCAGCCCUGAGUGCUCCCUGGAAGGACAGAUCGUGAAGCUGAGGCUCCAAUACUUUGGCCACCUCAUGAGAAGAGAAGAAUCCUUGGAAAAGACCCUGAUGUUGGGAAAGAUUGAGGGCACUAGGAGAAGGGGACGACAGAGGACAAGAUGGUUGGACAGUGUUCUCGAAGCUACGAACAUGAGUUUGACCAAACUACGGGAGGCAGUGCAAGACAGGAGUGCCUGGCGUGCUAUGGUCCAUGGGGUCACGAAGAGUCGGACACGACUAAACGACUAAACAACAACAUCAUAAUUGUCAUAGCUUCCAACCCUGUGUGUAGAUCUGAAUCUGUUCCAUUGAAAUCGAUGGGAACUAUUUCUGAGCUGUAACUGCAUGAAUAUAUUUUAAAAGUUGUGUUGUGAUUGCAGACUUGUUUCUGAUCCAGGAUGAGAGUGCAAAAAGGAUAGUGGUAUCCUUAUAACAGAAUUUUUACUGUGCUAAAAGUAAUUCUUUUCUUUUUCUUUUUUUGCUUUUUCAUCUUCAGUAAUAUUUGCUUUACUUCCAUCUUGUGAAUCACGAAUUCUUUCUUUAAUAUUUGUCAGGAAAUUAUCCCCUCCUCAUGCUUAUGUUCACCAGUGAAAGGAGUGGUGGUGGUAAAUGAUCCUUUAUUGUGUGCUAGCGGAAGCCAUACAUGGAGUUAUUUCCCUGCAGGGGUGGGGUGAAGCAAUAUGAUGUGUAAACUAUUAUUGUUUUUAAGGAAUAACCUUUUCCCAUGUGAAAGACGUGAAAGACUUUGUUUGAAAUACCUUGCUGCAUAAUGAAUUAUUAUAUUUACUUAGUAGCCAAUUCUAUAAGGUUCGGAAAAGGCAUUAAUGAUACCCCCAUCCUGACAUGCAUAGUUAACCUUAAAAUCAAAUUAUAGAGUUCCUUCCCCCCCCUUUUCUUUUUUUACUGGCAAAGGAUGAUUUCUGAAAUUAAGCAAGAAUAGUAGCAAAGAAUAUUUUCAUUAAUGAGGUUGAAAUACUUUGUCUUGACUGAGUGUCCUCCUUGUAAAUUGGUCCAUUGGGGCCAAUUUGCUGCAAAAUGUUUUGAUCAAUUGGGUCACAUUUUUCUUUCUAGGUCUUAAACAUUAUUCUGAUGUUAAUCAGAACUGUCCUCCAUGGUUUAUAAACUGUGAAUAGGGAUCUCAUGCCCUACGUCUCUUUGCCUUCUUACCUGACCCCUGCAAUUCCAGCCAGACACCUAUUAAUUUGCUUGCCUUCUUGUUCUCUGUCCCCAACUGCAUGUUACUUGACAAUGUUAUCUGGGUAUGUGGUUAAGGAAGAAUUUAAGAAGGAGGUAAAAGCAGAACUGCAAAAUAAGGCAUGUCUCAUUUUUUUUCUGUUCCUCAUAGCAAGCCUCCCUUUAUGAAUUGAUUUUGUGAAGGUUCCAACCAAGUUUGCACUGAUGCAAAAGUUGAGAAAGGAGCACAUAUCCAUGAACAAGCACAUGGCAGUAUUAUUAAACAUUUAUUUAUUACCAGUUAUUAGUGAUAUGCUUACUGCCUAGAGAACAGAUAGUGUACAAGAGAUGUACAAAGACAUUAAUAUUCUUUAUGGAACUUGGGGGAAGUGUACAUUUAUUUUAAUUCAGAAGAAUUGAUAAACUGUUUAAUCGAAGAAUUUCUAAGUGAUUUUUUUUAAAAAAAAAUCAAUAUACAAUCAACAUACAGUGUACUGUGCCCAGGGAAUCCUGUUAUUGCUGCUGCUGUGAAGAGUCAUUUUGGAUGCAUAUAAGCUCUACUUGAAUGGUCAGUUAUUCCAUUGCCAUUUAAUUCUAACCUUUCCAUCCCCUCCUUUACACCCACUGACAGGUGAGAAUCACACUCACUGCUUCUGAUGAGGUGUGAUCUCAUCCAAAACUCCAUAUUAAAGUACCUUAGUCUUUAAGCUCAUCCCACCCACAACCUGAAAGUACCUAGGCUCCCCUGUGCUCUUGUCAAGGAGCUAUAUUGGCACCUCUGAAACCGGGAGAGACCAUGGACUAGAAACUCAAAAAGUUUGCUUUUUGUCACCUUCUGCAGUCUGCCAGUGAUUUCCUCCACUGCUGUUGGGGUCAGGUCUGUUCUGCUGUCCUGUCCUCCAUCUGUCUGCUUCUUUUCCCACCCUCACUUUUCUUUCCUUUCCUUUUCCUCCUCCUGCCACUAUCACCUGCUUUUUCCAUCUUUCUUCCCUCCAAGCCCUGUUGGGUGCUCUGCUCACACUUCUGAUAGUGCCAUUGGCCGACUGGGGAGAGGCUCCCACAGGGCUGCUGCAACAAUCCAUGCCAGCAUCCGGAUUCCUCCUCUGGGGUGCCCAGAGGAGCCUGUGUGCCUCCCAUGGUUCCCAGAGCAACUGAGGAACAGCCCAGGGAAUGCGCGGGUGGGCAGGAGGUUCCUAGCCACUCUGAGCCAGAGUGGAGAGGCAUGAUUUUUGCAUCUGCUUGCGCCCUUGGUGGGGGCAAUCUAACCAACCCCUAGGAACGCCCAUGUCUCCAAUGUUCCCAGGUAUGCCAACUCUACCCCCUCAUUCCCGUGUUUAGCAGGGUCUGAAAGGGGCUUUGAAGCAUAUUUGGAUGGAUGCCCUUACAGGUCUCCUCAUGAGCAAGACACACACACACACACAUGCACACACACCCCACCCCCACCAUAUGUGGAGGCUUCUAAGCAUAACCAGCCAAAUACCUUUGUGCCAACCCCCUGCGGUUGGAAGGAAAUGGACCUGUGUUUAGAGAUAUUGGGGGCAGGGCCACUGCAAGCACCCCUGACCCCCUGUAUACUUUUUGCCCUGGUGUGUUCAGACUCAGUGCCUGAAGAGGAUUACCUAGUUAGCACAGGUGGUAUGCUAGGCAAGAAUACAGUAUUGUGAAAUAUGAAAUUCUUAUCCCCUUUAGGAAUAAUUCUUUCUGCUGCCUGGCAUUGUAAUUCUGUUCAAUCUCCCAUCAUCACUGAUUCUUUGUCAUGCUGGCUGGGAGCUCAAAGGAGUUACAGCAAUGCCUGGUGGCCCACUAGUUGGUCACACCUGAAUUCUGCAUUUUGUUAAACAUUGACCAGUUAGGAUACCUCUGAAUCUGUGAGACAGUGAAUUCAGGUAAUGCCUAAUCCUUGCUUGUCCUCAGUACAAGGAGUUUUGAUUUCUUCUCUCAUGGCUAAUUACCAUUAAUUUGCAAAUUUCAUGGAGCACAGGUCUUCUUCUUUUUGGAAGUCGUUUAAAUUAGUGGCUAUCGUUGCACCUUGUGGCAGUGAAUCCAGUAAGAUACGGUACCUAUUUAUUAUGUGAUGACUUUUGUCAGUCCUGAACCGAGUCAUUUUCAUUGGGUGAUCUGCUAGGCUAGUAGUAUAUUAAAAGAGUGGAAAGCAAGAGCUGCCAGCCCCUACACCUUGCAUCCUGACAAGGGUACUGGAAAGUUGUAACCCCAUAAUUUCCACUUAAAAUGUCCUGAAACUCUUGUUUCGCUGGAUGUUCUUUAGGAGGAAAAAUUUCCCUAAUGACUUCUUUCUUUUUUUGAUCACUUGAACCCAGCUGUUCUGUAGACCCAUUCUAUUGUACAGUGGUACCUUGGUUGUCGAACGUAAUCCUUUCCGGAAGACCGUUCGACUUCCGAAGCGUUCGGCAACUGAGGCACAAUGGGCGGGCGGCAAAUUCCAUUCAGAAAAAUGGAGAAACCCAUCUUGGAAGCCAUUCGACUUCCGAGGUGCGUUCAAAAACGGAAGCAUUCACUUAUGGGUUUUUGGCGUUUGGCUUCCGAAUAAUUCUGCUUCCGAGGCGCUCGAAAACCGAGGUUCCACUGUAUCUUGCUCUGAUGAUGAUAUCUUAAGAAAAUAACUUUGUUUCAUAAAAGAGACAGCUAUACCAGAGCUGAUCUAAAAUUUCAUAUUGCUUGACCCACCAGCCUAUGUUUUCCUGUUUGUUUUUAUCUUUACAUUACAGCCUGUUGAAAUCCAUGUGGGUUUUGUGAUCUGAAGGCAACUGGGCAUUAGAUGAUUGUUAAUUUCACAUUCUUCCUCAUUUGUUCUUCCCAAUUAAUGGGGCCAGACCUCAACCAAAUAGACUUUUAUCCUGCUUGGGCUAUUAGCCAUGCUGUUCUCUGACCUGUUUGGACUAUCAGGCAUGCUGUUCUUUGACCUCCUAACUGCAGUAAUAAUUGGGAACAAAGGAAGGAUUUAACAUUUUAGAGCUCCCUUGUGCAAAACAAGGUGAGGAAAUGGCUGAAGCUCAUCAUACGUUCCUUCUCGGAGUGUUCAUCCUAAUUAAAGUUGCUUCACACUGUUACAGGGAACCCUAGGAGGUAAAACAAAACUGUAUUACCACCGCUUGCUUUCAUUCGGAAGACGUUUGAAUGUCAGAGAAUCUGCUCUGCAAUCUUAUUACACAAUCUUUAUCUAACCGCCUCCAUAAGGGAGAAUAUGCUGAAAUGAAUCAAAUGCCAGUUAGGUGGUCUUGAGCUCAUAUUUUUUGUCACUGGCUAUUUUCCUGGGAUAAUGAGUUCUUUAUUUAUUUGCUCAAUUUAUUUCAUUCCCAUAACCCCUCCAUGUUGCCACCUUAUUCAUUUAUUUCUUAGUCUCAUCAGUUAACACAACACAGAAUAACAUGGACAAAAAGGCAGGACCUUGUUGCAAUUUGUGUUUCAGCAGUAGGGAGUGAGAGGAACAGAACAUAGGCCCAGGAAGCUAGCAUAGGCCCAAUGGCAGACCUAGGUCUUUCACAUUUAAGCAGAGCCCUGUGUGAAGCCGAAAUUCAGAGCCCCCCCCCCGCCUUCCAUUCUGUGCAAAUGCUACAUCAUAGUUACGACCAGUGGCGGAGCUUCAUGCUCUGGCACCGGGGGCGGAGAGCAGGCGGGUGGGGCUGGUGCACAUUCUGGGGGCGUGGCGCACCACCCGUGGGGGCGUGGCGUGCGUUCUGGGGCCGUGGCGUGGCGCCCAGUGUGGGCGGGGGGCAGCCGCGAUGGCACCCUCAGGAUUGCGCUGCUCAGGGCAGAGCGCCCCUAUCGCCCCCUCUUCCUACGCCCCUGGUUAUGACACCCUGCAGUGCAGGAGAACUACCAGUAGUCAUCUGCCGCAAAUCCUCCUCUGUGACCAGCAUACCAAGUGGUAAGGUUUUCUGCCACAAAUUCUGUUGUGUGGUAAAGGUUGGGGGCCUUAAGUGGUAAGACUCCACAUUAGUCACUUUAUAAGUUGAUGGUCUGUAUACUGAUUUUGUGGCGAGUAGAAAGGGGUACAUAUCUGAGCUGGAGAGCCUCUCAGCUAGAGUUGCUUUUAAUGAAAACCUUGUCUCCCCUGAUUGUCCCUUUAUGUUUUGUAGAUUUUAAGUUUUUAAGAUUUCUAUUCCAAGUGUUCAUGUACUGUAUUUUUAAAAGGUUUAAAUAUUUGUAGUUAUCAGAAGAACUUAAUGUUGGUGUGUUUGACAAGGAGCAGGAUUUAAGUAGCAGAGGUGGGUUGGGCAAGAGUUGGACUAUAGCUAUUUCACAGAUUGGCACUUGCCCAAGCCAUCUAGUUCAUAGGUGACGAAGGAUUUUCCAGAUUCAUGUUGAGCACGCUUUUCAUUGCUCCUGUAAGUCUAAGUGGAGUUGGCUUAUUAAUGUUUAUCCUUCUCUGUUGCUAUGGUGUGAAAUAAAUGGGACAUGGGAAAGUGCUGUGAGCCUCUGAGAAAUAUGAGGCACUGCUUUGGUUUUUGGAAGGAUAGGCAUGGAGGCUAGUGAUAUGUAAGGAAUAGGAAGCUCGAGUUUGCCAUUAAGAAAGGCAAGACAACCAUUCAGAUAGGUUUCUGAGACAGCUCCCAGAGUUGGAGGGGCCAAUGAUUCCCUGUGCUGCUGCUUACAGUGACCCAGAUUCAUUAAUGGUUAGGUUUGUUUCUCCUAGAGUAAUCCUAAAGACUUGGUGCAAAGUAGUCCCUUUAUAUUUUAUUAUCCUUCUCCAUGCCCCUUCAACCAAAUGGUGAGUGGGAGUCUCUCUUGGAGAUGAGCACCAGUUUUCCCCCUCUUGGGUGCACCAGCUACUUGCCUUCCUCCUUCAGAGCACAUGUCUUUGUCAGGUUAGUUAUUGUAAUUGUCUCAUGCAUUCAAUUAGAAUCAGGUGUUAGAAUCAACACCUAAGAGCUGUAAAGAUCAGAAAACCAAAGUUGUUCGGAGACUUCUCACCUUUCUCUCCCAGCAGGCGUUUUCUCUUAAUAGAGGUACACUGUGGUCUAAACAACAGAGCCUAGGGCUUGCCGAUCAGAAGGUCGGCGGUUCGAAUCCCCGCAGCGGGGUGAGCUCCCGUUGUUCGGUCCCAGCUCCUGCCCACCUAGCAGUUCAAAAGCACUUCAAAGUGUAUAUUCCUGCGUAUAAGACUACUUUUUAAUCCAGGAAAAUCUUCUCAAAAGUCAGGGGUCAUCUUAUACGCUGGGUCAUAUUUCUUAUACGGCGAGUAUAUACCAAACUCUAUAUUUUAACUGGAAAAGUUGGGGGUCGUCUUAUACGCCCAGUCUAGGUACUGCUCCAGCAGGAAGGUAAACGGCGUUUCCGUGUGCUGCUCUGGUUCGCCAGAAGCGGCUUAGUCAUGCUGGCCACAUCUGCAGACAAACGCAGGCUCCCUUGGCCUAUAGAGCGAGAUGAGCGCCACAACCCCAGAGUCGUUUACACUAAAGUAGAUUUGGGUUGAACAUUACAAUUAUGAGAAAUAAUCCUUAUGGUGUGAGCCAUUUGACAACAGAACCAGUUACUGGUGGGUGUGGGUGUACCCUUGCUUGGAAGUUGUUAAGUAGAGGUUUCAGAGUAAUUUGAGGAUGCUUUAGCUCUGGAUUUCCUGUAGCAAGAAGGGGGCUGAACUAGAAGAUUUGAGGAUGCUUUCCAGCUUUCUAAGUGACUCCAAGCAGAAUAGAUUCAUGGGCUAGCAUUCCAUAGGCAAAGAAAAACAGCUUGGGUUAUUUGAGUGUUCAACUGACAGUAUAGGAAGUCUUACCAUCAGAUUUUAAAAGUUCACAGCUCAUGGUACACUGAUGUGUGGCAGAUGAAUACACAAUAAAAGUAAACCACAUUUUUAAUUUUUCCUUAAUCUGUGUUUUGGGCUUUUUCACAGCCUGGAGUUGUAGGAGAUAAGUGAUACUGGCAAGGGGCCUUAAGAGCUUAAUUUGUGUAUGGGAGAGUGAUGAGGAAUAAAGGAGAGAGAGAAGAUUUACUAGAAAAUAAGUUUAUUAUCUUACUUGUAAUUCCCAGACCAUGCAGAUUUCCACAUGAGAGGCUAUUUUAAGCAAGGGCUUUUAGGGCAAUAUGUGAAUAAUUGGGUUGCUAUUUCCCUUUGGACCUUCAUGUUUUCUGAGAAGAAAUCUCAAGCUGGAGAGACAGGCAUACUUUCUCCCUCGUUCCCCUUCUACACAGGAAAAGUAUCAAACAAGCUGAACGGUAUUGCAUGCAUUUGAACAUGGGAUCUUUCUGUCCGUGUAGUCUAUCCCCAGCUGAAAAGGGAGAUGGAUUGUGUGGUCAGAGGGGUCUGCAUCCAAAUCAAUGCAAUGCUCUAUGGUUCACUUGUUUUCCCCCCUGCAUGGUGAAGGGGCAGGAGAGGGAGCUCGAAACUCUUAACUGGGUUGAGAUUUCUCCCUGGAAAGUAACACAUGAACAGGAAAUUCCGUCCAUUUUUGUUACAUUUCCCUUUUAUGACUUGCCUCUAGUUACCUUAUCUCUCUGAUGUCAAAAAACAGAUAACCAUUGAAAUAAUAAAUUGUGCCCAAAGGCAAUUUACACUCAAUAUUUUCUGGAUGCUUAAACUCUACUUCCUACACAGAGCAAAACAAAAUUGAAAUUCCAAUAGUACGCUGUGGCCUGUGGAUAGAAUACUUGAACUUUUGCUUCUUGUCUUCAUAAUGUGCAAUCUUUCAUAUCACUUGACACUGUGCUUUUGUAACUAAAAUUCCUCCACCAUUAGCAAAAACGCCUUCUAAAGGCAAUUACUUAGACUAUCUGCCACCCUUGCAUCCUUUUUGUAGUACUGUAGAGCAAUAUACAGGGCUGCAUAUACUCCGCACCUGUCAAAAAUUAUGCACCAUUGUAGCUCAAGAGAAACUGUUGCACAACCACAAUGCAGUAGCAGUUCAUUCACUGCUAAUAUGUAAAUUCUGUCAUAUGUCUUGGGUGGUGCUUGCUUGAGGCUCCUACGCUAUGUAGGUAAUAAUUAAAUAAGCACUAUAAACUUUGCAGAAGCAGAAAAUCUAAAUAAAUAGGAUCUGCUUGCAAGAGUUUAGACUUUUUUCAAGAUUAGUAGAAUAAACAUUGCAGACUGUAAGUUUCAGGUAAGUUCACAGCUGAGGUUCUAAAAUGCAGUAAUGAAUUUUUUUAAAAAAUGUAUUUGGGAAAGUUGUCUGAUAUAACACAGAUAUAAGUAGGGUCCUGAGGUGCAUGUGUUACUUGAGUCCAGCGCUGGAGUGUGUACUGCUGGUGCCCAGGGUGUGCAUGCAUGUGCUGGGGGUGGGAGGGAGUGCAUGGAGGAUGAAUGGCGACUGCUGUGCCAGCCCAGUUGGCACUGCUGAUGCGAUGCCAGCCCCAAGCAGCUUUGAGAGGCUGGGAUGAUCCCGGACUCCCAGAGUGGUCGGGGAAGGCAGUGUGAGAAGGAUGCAACAGCCAUAUUUCGAUCCCAUCCUCACAAAGUUGCACAGGGCUAGCCGGGCGGCGUGAGAAGGACCCUCCAUAAAAAUGUUCCCGGGGCCAUUACCCCAGCAGCUCCCCCCCCCCUUUCCGGGUGCUAUGCCCCUGCCUGAGUCUGUGGGUGAAAAGGUUGAAAAAAAUCUACAAAACAGGGGCUCCUGUCUUUGCACGUAAAGUAAGUCAUAAAUUGCUAUCAAAGUGUGUGUGUUUGUUUUUGAACAUUUAAAAGAGCAAUGUCAGGGCUGGUUCAGGUGCAGGUUAGCAGUCAAGAUGCAGAGACAAGCAGAAAAGCUAGCUCUUAAUUCAAGAAAACAUCAUACCAGGUAGCAAUGCCGACAUACAGGACUGGCCCCCAUGAAACAGUUGCCAGGGCUGAAGGUCUUUGCCUUCUACUUCCCACUAGGUCCUCCUCCCCAGCCAGUUGUCUCCCAAGCAGCCUUAAACUACUUUGGGCAGGGGCCACUUGUGGUCUUUGUUCUGCUACACGCAAAGCUUUCUGUGACCUAGAUGACAAGGAGGGAGGGGAGCUUACCACAGUAGGAAAGGCAAGCUCCAUGCAUGCUUCUGCAGCCUCUGGCUCCUCCGUCUCUGCUGCAUGUCCUGAGUCUGCAUUGCUUUCUGCAUCUCUCUCGCUCAGCCCUGUUGCUUCUUUAGCCUCCAACCAUUCUGCCUCCCCUUCAUCCUCUGACUUGUCCUCAGUAUCCCCCCCCCCCCCCGCUAUGAGUUUUCCUCCUCUGAGGCUUCCCUAGGGUGUUUCCCGGCUGGCACCUCCCACUUCUCUUCGUCCACCCAGUUCCUGACAUGCAACCAGUCUUGCUGCAGAACAGUUGACCCCAAGGUUUCUGCAUGUAGCAGUGCAUAGUUUGGUCUGGCAACAGGAUUGAGGUGGCAGUUUAAGAAGACUGACCUUUGUUGCAACCUGAAAGGCAUUGGGGAUUUUUGACUCAGAAUCCCAACCAGCCACUGCCCUGCAAUAUUAACAGUUAACUACAUAUUUUCUUAUAUUCCUAUUUCCUAGAUCCUUUAUCCCUCCACCCUACCCACCACCCACCGUGAAAAUAUGUACAACUUGAAAAAAUGUAUUAUUUUUGUUUUUGUUUCU